CACGUAGGCACCAAGCGUUGUCCGGAUUUAUUGGGCGUAAAGAGCUCGUAGGCGGUUCAGUAAGUCGGGUGUGAAAACUCAGGGCUCAACCCUGAGCGGCCACCCGAUACUGCUGUGACUUGAGUCCGGUAGGGGAGUGGGGAAUUCCUGGUGUAGCGGUGAAAUGCGCAGAUAUCAGGAGGAACACCGGUGGCGAAGGCGGGUCUC
rnacentral:rRNA from 1 species